GACGAACGCUGGCGGCGUGCUUAACACAUGCAAGUCGAACGGAAAGGCCCUGCUUUUGUGGGGUGCUCGAGUGGCGAACGGGUGAGUAACACGUGAGUAACCUGCCCUUGACUUUGGGAUAACUUCAGGAAACUGGGGCUAAUACCGGAUAGGAGCUCCUGCUGCAUGGUGGGGGUUGGAAAGUUUCGGCGGUUGGGGAUGGACUCGCGGCUUAUCAGCUUGUUGGUGGGGUAGUGGCUUACCAAGGCUUUGACGGGUAGCCGGCCUGAGAGGGUGACCGGCCACAUUGGGACUGAGAUACGGCCCAGACUCCUACGGGAGGCAGCAGUGGGGAAUAUUGCACAAUGGGCGGAAGCCUGAUGCAGCAACGCCGCGUGCGGGAUGACGGCCUUCGGGUUGUAAACCGCUUUCGCCUGUGACGAAGCGUGAGUGACGGUAAUGGGUAAAGAAGCACCGGCUAACUACGUGCCAGCAGCCGCGGUGAUACGUAGGGUGCGAGCGUUGCCCGGAUUUAUUGGGCGUAAAGGGCUCGUAGGUGGUUGAUCGCGUCGGAAGUGUAAUCUUGGGGCUUAACCCUGAGCGUGCCUUCGAUACGGGUUGACUUGAGGAAGGUAGGGGAGAAUGGAAUUCCUGGUGGAGCGGUGGAAUGCGCAGAUAUCAGGAGGAACACCAGUGGCGAAGGCGGUUCUCUGGGCCUUUCCUGACGCUGAGGAGCGAAAGCGUGGGGAGCGAACAGGCUUAGAUACCCUGGUAGUCCACGCUGUAAACGGUGGGUACUAGGUGUGGGGUCCAUUCCACGGGUUCCGUGCCGUAGCUAACGCUUUAAGUACCCCGCCUGGGGAGUACGGCCGCAAGGCUAAAACUCAAAGGAAUUGACGGGGCCCCGCACAAGCGGCGGAGCAUGCGGAUUAAUUCGAUGCAACGCGUAGAACCUUACCUGGGUUUGACAUGGAUCGGGAGUGCUCAGAGAUGGGUGUGCCUCUUUUGGGGUCGGUUCACAGGUGGUGCAUGGCUGUCGUCAGCUCGUGUCGUGAGAUGUUGGGUUAAGUCCCGCAACGAGCGCAACCCUUGUUCACUGUUGCCAGCACGUUAUGGUGGGGACUCAGUGGAGACCGCCGGGGUCAACUCGGAGGAAGGUGGGGAUGACGUCAAGUCAUCAUGCCCCUUAUGUCCAGGGCUUCACGCAUGCUACAAUGGCUGGUACAGAGAGUGGCGAGCCUGUGAGGGUGAGCGAAUCUCGGAAAGCCGGUCUCAGUUCGGAUUGGGGUCUGCAACUCGACCUCAUGAAGUCGGAGUCGCUAGUAAUCGCAGAUCAGCAACGCUGCGGUGAAUACGUUCCCGGG
rnacentral:rRNA from 1 species